CAUGUUGCAAGUUGAGAUGAGAUAACCAGUCUUCAGCCUUUUGCCUAAAAUAAAAAUGAGGCAUUUUUCAGUCUCUGUAUUCAGUCUCUGCUGAAUACGUAAAAUCUAAAUAUAGAAAGGGAUGCUGAAAAAUUAUUCGGAGGGUUGUUCGUGGAGGAUGAUCUGUAUUCUCAUAGGCAAUGGGUGUGUAAGACUGUGAGUCUGUGGUCGAAGAGGGACAUCUGACCACCACAUUGAGCGAUGAGACCCAGAGCAGAGCUUUGACAACCAAGAAAACGUGCAGGAAUCUGAUUGCAGGUAUGUCCAGUCAACUCAAAGUCGGAGGUAUCCUGCUCAACACUUCUGCAGAACACAAAGAUUUUAAGAAGAAUAUCUCAGCUAGGUCCAUGCAGUGCAAGUGAACGGUGACCACAACUUUGAAGCUCCAAAAAGCACAUAUUGGCAGCAUACAAGUAAUCCAUAAGACUCCAGUGAAUUGGUUUAAAUAAAUAUAUUGGUUUUCUAAAUAUAUGUACUUUUUUUACAAUAAAUCUUGACAGCAGCUGUCUCCUUGGCAUUUAUUUCAAGCUUGAUUACACUUCCUAGUACCAUCUAGCGCUCUGCGCAUGUGUCAAGCACAAGGAAGUAUAAUCGAGGUUAAAAUCAUGAUUGUGCCUAGAGACUGCAUUGUCAAGAUGUCAUGGAAAAGGAGUUAUAUUUAGGUCUGUUCUCACCCAAAAUCGAUUAGAUUGCUUCAGAAUACAUGGAUUAAACCACUGGAUUCGUAUAGAUUACUUUUCUGCUGCCUUUAUGUGCCUUUUGGAGCUUCAAAGUUUUAGUCACCAUUCACUUAAAGAGCUGAAAUAUUCUCCUAAAAAUAUUUGCUUUUGUUCUGCAGAAGAAAGAAAGUCAGACACAUCUGGGAUGGCAUGAGGGUGAGUAAAUGAUGAGAGAAUUUGUAUUUUUAGGUGAACUAUCACUUUAAAAAUGUCCUGGAUUGAAAACUAGUUGAGCUCUAUCGACGACCACAUCGGUCACAUGGUCAAUUACCACACAUGAUACCUCAUUUUGUGGAAACAAGCAAGAUUGCUUUUACAGUAAUGUACUUUAAGGGGCAAGGCAUUCCAAAGGAUUUAAAAGCAGAAAUGUGCAGCUUGUACAAAAAUGUGUGUUAUUUAAAAUGUAAAGUCUAAAUCAAGAGCAGAGUUUUUCUACAUUUAGUCAUUUAGCAUACACUUUUAUCCAAAGUGACUUCCAAAUGAGGAACUUAUCAAGCAAUUUGCCAUAAAAAGUUCAACAAAGUCUACACUGCCAAGUUCUCAAGGUGGCAGCAGUAGUAUAGGUGCUAGUGCAGAAAAAAGAGAUAGAAGUAUAUAUUUUUUGUGUACAGUAAGUGCAAUUAGUGUGGAUUGGUCAAGUGCUUGCUGAACAGCUGUUUCCAGCUGGUUCUUGAAUUUUGAGAUGGUAGUAGCUGAUCGUGUGGAGGUUGGAAGUUAAUUUCAGCACAGUGGAACAGAGACUCUUGGAACGCUUUGUGAUGGGACCACCAGGUCUUUUUUUCUUUGCAUUAAUUAUCAUAUAUUAGUCCAUAAACAGUGAUGGCAACUGAGUCUUGGUUCCUUUACAAUGCUCUAUUUGUAAAUAUUCACCAAAUCAAUCUUUUUUUGGCCUAUAUAUAUUCACCAGAUGAAGGGUUUCGGCCACGAUGGAAAUAAAAAAGUCACAAAGCCGCUCAUGGAUCCAUUUGCCUUCAUAAGUGUUGCCAUAGAGACGUGGUCGUUCAAGGACAUGAAUCACUCAUAGUAGAAUCUGCGAGUUAUCUCAUUAUUAAGAUAUUUCCAACAUGACAUGAAAGCAGAAUGACCAACAGUUAUGUAUGUCCUUGUAAUAUUUGCAUACUGAAUAGUGACUGGGCUUCCUACUUGCAUCUAUUUAACCUGCUAUUGCCACCUUUACGCUUUAAAUUAUGUGUUCAUUCUCGUGCAUAGCCAACAAACACAUGCUGAGUGGCUUUGAUGCAGUAUUUAAUUUAUGUGUUUUUAGGCCCGCAUUAAAUACUCUUUUUGUGCAUUCUGCCAGAUUGGGAAAGCACCUGAACAGUCAUGUCGUAAAACCAAAGAGACUAUCCAGAAGCGGAUACAUGAAAAAACUUGUGUAAACUGGGUCAAGAGCUGCCAUGGCUGAGAGGGCGAAAAGUUGAGCCAAACACGGUGGCCACGCAAGUGGAUGACAUCCUAAAGAACGGCAGGGCAUUGCUCAUGAGAGCCAUUCGAAACUAUGAAGAACAACUAAAAGAUGAACUCCCAGAAACACAAGUGGGAAACAAUGAGAAUGACCCAUUUGGAAAACACCCAACAGAUUCAAACCACCCCGAUUCACCUUCCACAAAGGCACCUGAGUCAGAAGUUACAUAUCCCAAGCAGAGUACCCCACGAAUAGAGAGACCUCAGAUUGUGAGCUAUCAAUUGCAGUAAAAGGCACUUGUUUUUACUUCUCUGCGUGAAGAGUCGCAAACAGCCGCGAGUGGACACUCCUCAUUUGGAAGUGACUGGAGAUGAGGAAAUAUCGGACCGUGAAAUGGAAUUGUAUAUUAAAUCUCAGGUUGAGAUCAAAAUGUAUUUAAAAGCUCAGAAAGAGCUGAAAGAGGCGGAACGGGUUCACACUUUGAACUAAAGUCGCAUUAUUUACAUUAAGAUUCAUCAUUCCUGGUGUAACAAAAACAAACAUAAUGAUGUUGUAGUGGGAAGGUUCACACAAAAAUGAUAGUUCUCGCCAUUUACACCCAUAUGACUUUCUUUCGUGGAACACAAUUUCGUGGAGCAUUUUUUAAUAGUAUCCUGGCCGCUGUUUUCCAUAUAAUGAAAGUUGAUGGGAACUAGAGCUGUAAAGCUUUAAAAUGACAAAAAGGACCAUCAAAUGAUUAUUAAAGUAGUCUAUGUGAUUCAUGAGCAAGAAGUAUUUUGAAGCCUUAUGAUAGCUUUAUCACUGAGCUAUUUGUCACACAAAGCAAUUGAAUAGGCCACUAUUAUGGUACUUUUUUGACAGCUCCAGUCUCCAUUCAUUUUCAUUGUGGAAAGAAGCAGCGAGGAUGUCCUUUAAAUAUUCACCUUUUGAGGUUGAGCAAAUGAUGACAGAAUUGAAUAUUUUGAAUAGUGCCUUUUGUCAGAAAGUAAAUUAUUUCCUCACUGGAGCCUAAAGCUUCAUAUUACUUUGUCAGUGUUGUGUAAUUUUCACUCAAAUGACUUUGGAUAACUGCAGCCUCCAAAUUCUAAAAUCUGUUUUCAUAUACAAAGCAAAUGUAUUUUCCCUUGUGCAUUGUCCUUUUGAAUGUAUCAUUCCAGGAGAGUUCAUUUCAGGGAGACCUUGAUUUUAAUAUUGCCAAGUCACAGCUGUUCCUGCUGCCAUUGUGUCUGUGAUAGCAUUAUUAGUACGCACUGAUUUCAUUCUUCGUUUGCUUGAGGCUGUAAAAACAGACAAAUAAAAAUGUUCCUCAGUUAUAUGACCCUGACAAUGCAAUAGAAAGGCUGUCAUGAUAAUUAAAAGA